rnacentral:rRNA from 1 species
AGAGACAGCAGUAGCCGCGGUAAUACGAAGGGGGCUAGCGUUGUUCGGAAUUACUGGGCGUAAAGCGCACGUAGGCGGAUACUUAAGUCAGGGGUGAAAUCCCGCAGCUCAACUGCGGAACUGCCUUUGAUACUGGGUAUCUUGAGUAUGGAAGAGGUUAGUGGAAUUGCGAGUGUAGAGGUGAAGUUCGUAGAUAUUCGCAGGAACACCAGUGGCGAAGGCGGCUAACUGGUCCAUAACUGACGCUGAGGUGCGAAAGCGUGGGGAGCAAACAGGAUUAGAUACCCCAGUAGUCCCUGUCUCUUAUAC